rnacentral:rRNA from 1 species
UACGUAGGGUGCGAGCGUUAAUCGGAAUUACUGGGCGUAAAGCGUGCGCAGGCGGUUCGCCAAGUCAGGUGUGAAAUCCCCGGGCUUAACCUGGGAAUUGCGCUUGAAACUAGCGGGCUUGAGUGUGGCAGAGGGGGGUGGAAGUUCCACGUGUAGCAGUGAAAUGCGCAGAUAUCAGGAAGAACACCGAUGGCGAAGGCAGCCCCCUGGGCCAACCACUGACGCUCAGGCACGAAAGCGUGGGGAGCAAACAGGG